rnacentral:rRNA from 1 species
UUCGGGGACAUUGGUGACAGGUGGUGCAUGGUUGUCGUCAGCUCGUGUCGUGAGAUGUUGGGUUAAGUCCCGCAACGAGCGCAACCCUUGUCUUUAGUUGCCAUCAUUAAGUUGGGCACUCUAGAGAGACUGCCAGGGAUAACCUGGAGGAAGGUGGGGAUGACGUCAAAUCAUCAUGCCCCUUAUGCUUAGGGCUACACACGUGCUACAAUGGGUAGUACAGAGGGUUGCCAAGCCGUAAGGUGGAGCUAAUCCCUUAAAGCUACUCUCAGUUCGGAUUGUAGGCUGAAACUCGCCUACAUGAAGCUGGAGUUACUAGUAAUCGCAGAUCAGAAUGCUGCGGUGAAUGCGUUCCCGGGUCUUGUACACACCGCCCGUCACACCACGGGAGUUGGAGACGCCCGAAGCCGAUUAUCUAACCUUUUGGAAGAAGUCGUCGAAGGGGGAAUCAAUAACUGGGGUGAAGUCGUAACAAGGUAGCCGUAUCGGAAGGUGCGGCUGGAUCACCUCCUUU